AUUGAACGCUGGCGGCAGGCCUAACACAUGCAAGUCGAGCGAGCGGCGGACGGGUGAGUAAUGCCUGGGAAUAUGCCUUAGUGUGGGGGAUAACUAUUGGAAACGAUAGCUAAUACCGCAUACGCUAAGAUUUGCUCAGGUGAGAUUAGCUAGUUGGUGGGGUCUGAGCUCACCAAGGCCACGAUCUCUAGCUGGUCUGAGAGGAUGAUCAGCCACACUGGAACUGAGACACGGUCCAGACUCCUACGGGAGGCAGCAGUGGGGAAUAUUGCACAAUGGGCGAAAGCCGGAUGCAGCCAUGGCGCGUGUAUGAAGAAGGCCUUCGGGUUGUAAAGUACUUUCAGUAGGGAGGCGGUAACUAAAGAAGAAGCACCGGCUAACUCCGUGCCAGCAGCCGCGGUAAUUG
rnacentral:rRNA from 1 species